AACUCCAUGGUGUAACGGUAGCACAUCACAUUUUGGUUGUGAUUGUCAAGGUUCGAAUCCUUGUGGGGUUGCCA
rnacentral:tRNA from 1 species